rnacentral:rRNA from 1 species
UACGAAGGGGGCUAGCGUUGCUCGGAAUCACUGGGCGUAAAGGGUGCGUAGGCGGGAUCUUAAGUCAGAGGUGAAAGCCUGGAGCUCAACUCCAGAAUUGCCUUUGAUACUGGGAUUCUUGAGUUCGGGAGAGGUGAGCGGAACUGCGAGUGUAGAGGUGAAAUUCGUAGAUAUUCGCAAGAACACCAGUGGCGAAGGCGGCUCACUGGCCCGAUACUGACGCUGAGGCACGAAAGCGUGGGUAGCAAACAGG